rnacentral:lncRNA from 1 species
AUUUUUCACUAUUUUUCUUCCAAGCAAGCAUUUUUUUUUUCAUUCUUUCUAUUUUUGUUCUUUUCUUUCACAUCAAAUAUACAAAACAGAUGUUUAUUUUCUACAUUUUCUAUACAUAUAUUUUUCUAUGCUUGCUCGGUUUUUCUUUUCUUUUUCAAGAGUUGUGGUACUUACCAAUUCUUUUUCGUUCUCCCCAACUUAUUUCU